rnacentral:misc_RNA from 1 species
GAAAGGUAUGGAGGUCUGAGGUAUUGCAAAAGCUAGUUGUCACAAAGAUUGGAUGGCAAGUGUAGUGAACUUUAAACUUCUCUUUAUCUUGUUUUGCAUAUAUAAUGUUGAUACUCUUGAGUGUUUUGCCUUAAAUGUUUCUCUGCAUUUGGUCUAAUGCAGCAUAUUAGCUGUUGUACCAUUGCAUGGGAAGUUAUCAUCCGUCAAUACUCUGUCAUAUGGU